UACGUAGGGGGGCUAGCGUUGUCCGGAUUUAUUGGGCGUAAAGGGCGCGUAGGCGGCCUGCUAAGUCGAACGUGAAAUCCCUGGGCUCAACCCAGGAACUGCGUCCGAUACUGGUUGGCUUGAAUCCGGGAGAGGGAUGUGGAAUUCCAGGUGUAGCGGCGAAAUGCGUAGAUAUCUGGAGGAACACCGGUGGCGAAGGCGACAUCCUGGACCGGUAUUGACGCUGAGGCGCGAAAGCCAGGGGAGCAAACGGG
rnacentral:rRNA from 1 species